rnacentral:lncRNA from 1 species
CAGAUCACCCUUGUUACCGCGGCUAUAUAUAGCUUUGUUGUUGAUGGCAACUGCCCCAUACAGUCAGCCUUCCUUUUGUAAUGGAGCUCUUCAUUGGCGUUCUAAUAAUAUUGAAUAUUGUUUUGCCAUUACUGCUUUAGAUUCUGCUCCUGGAGAAGGAAACUGUGGGAGGUGCCAUUAUGGUCGCCCUUGUGCAGCU